rnacentral:rRNA from 1 species
UAAACGGCCGCGUUAGCGUGAGCGUGCUAAGGUAGCGUAAUAAUUAGCCUUUUAAUUGGAGGCCAGUGAAUGGCAAGACUAGGAAUAUCUGUACUUUGUAUAUGAAAAAAACUUUUCAUCUAAGUGAAAAGACUUAGAUAAUAAAGGAAGACGAAAAGACCCCGCGGAACUUUACCUUUUCUCAUACCUCUGUCUACAAACUUAAAAGUCUAUAAGGUUUGAGUGGGGAUUUGGGGCAAUCUUGAACCCAAAAAACCUUCCACCCACUUACAAAUAUUUUAUACAAAAUUUGUAAAAAACCAAAAAGUAGUUACCCCGGGGAUAACAGCGUACCCCAACUAAAGAGUCCACAUCGAAGGUGGGGUUUGCAACCUCGAUGUUGGCUUAAGGAUCCCCACAUAAGUGCACCCGCUAUGACAGGAUAUUCUGUUCCACUAUUAUACCCUUACAUGACCUGAUUUCAGAACGGG